GUUCUGUCACUCCACAAUAUGAUAGGACGUACAUAAAAGAAGGAGGAAAAAAUCCGUCAGCUUGCGGUGCGGCAGUGUGGAGACCUGUCGUAAUGCGGAAUGUUCGAACAGAACGCCGCGAGACGAUACGGAAGAAGUCCAGUUCCUUUCGUCAGAGCAUCAACAUAUGU
rnacentral:ncRNA from 1 species